rnacentral:ncRNA from 1 species
UUAUUCAAUUCUUGUAUAAGCCCGCUGAUAAGGUGCGGGCGUUUCUACAGGCAACCGUAAAUUGUCACAGUCUACAAGAAAGAU